CAUUCAUCCCCUUCGCCUGGUGGCUGGGCGAGCGACGAAUCGCCAUGGAUGGUCUCGAGUUCUUCUUUGAGGAAGCGGAAUUAAGUUGGUCCCUAGGGUGGAUGCGGUGGAUAUUUUGGGCGGCGGAGUCGCUACUGUGGAGUCCGUUGUUGCUUUCAUCCAUGAAGCUCGCGGGCGCUCAGCAUUUGAUCUCUUCUGAUCCCAUGUCCGGCAGUGGUGUCGAACUGCAAUUCCAAGAGGACGAGAAAUCGAGAAUGUCGGCUCGUACAAUGGUAUUAGUGUGAGGUAGUCAAACGAGAUGGCUCCUGAGAAUAUGACUAAUGCAACAAUGGGAGAAGAUGGAGAUGCGAAGGGUGUCGUCGUGGGCUCCUGCUGGACUCCGCGCAUUAGGGUCGGCAAAAGCGUCAGAUGAGAGGGAUGUUGACCCAAGCAGAGUGCCUGCACUUGAGGCUUUGAUGCGAGCUUACGCAGACAACAAGGCUGGUACUGUUGUUAAUCCUGCAAUCGGUACCAGUUUUGAUUCAGUCGAAGAAGCAUACGAGUUUUACAAUUUACACUCCUGGGAGACGGGCUUUGGCGUGAGGUAUGCGAAGAGCCGCCUCAUCGUCCACCCAAAAAGUGUUUGCAGGAAAUUGUGUGUGCUUGUGUGGUGGCAUAUAAGCCUGGAGCAUUCUCACAAGGUUGCGGCGCAUGACAUAGCAUCACACAUGCAACGGCAACCAGGGGGAGGGGGGGUCAGCAUCUUGCAGCUUAUCGAUCAACAUGUCCGUCAUCUUGAUUCUGAAAGGGUUCCUUGGAUCCAUGGAUCCGAUAAUCGAAAAUUGUUUUUUCAGAUAUUUAUGAAAAUUCUGUCAGAUUAUUAUCUCAUGCUUUCUUUCGGUGAAAAAAUCUGCAGGGAAAGCCAUUCAAAUCCAACAGCCGUUCGACAAGGUGUGGCUGCACUGCAUUGAUGUAGAUUCUUAGGCCUGAUGACAAAGGAUGGUACAUACGCGAACACAAAUCAGAGCACAACCAUGCAGUGGCGGAGCUUGGCCCAGAAAUCUGGGCGGGCCGGCUGUAGGAAAUUACUCUAGGGGUUGUGUUUCAUUAGCCAAAAAUACGUAUAUACUGCAGGAAAAUCGUAUGGGCUGGGCGGGCCACGGCCAAUUCGGCCUUGCCGUAGCUCCGCCACUGCAACCAUGCGCUUUCAGUUAACUGUAUGGAGAAAUUGUAUUGGAAGUUGCACCGACACAUAGAUAGAUAUGCGAGAGACCCGGCGAAGUAGCUGAGAGAGAACAACAUAAGCCUAAGCAAGGUUUACAAUGUUGUGGGGUUUUUUCUUUUUUGGAUCAGUGAAGGAGGUGCCAUUCAUGAAAGGAUCUUUGAAAACACUUUGUGGAAAACUUAAUAGAGAACAGUUGAAAAAUGAUGCCACAAAAACCAUAGAGGUGUUUAAAGC